rnacentral:rRNA from 1 species
GACGAACGCUGGCGGCGUGCUUAACACAUGCAAGUCGAACGGAAAGGCCCUGAUUUUGUGGGGUGCUCGGGGGGGGAACGGGGGAGUAACACGUGAGUAACCUGCCCUUGACUUUGGGAUAACUUAAGGAAACUGGGGCUAAUACCGGAUAGGAGCCCCUGCUGCAGGGUGGGGGUUGGAAAGUUUGGGCGGUUGGGGAUGGAUGAGCGGCUUAUGGGCUUGUUGGUUGGGUAGGUGCUGACCAAGCCAUUGGCGGGUACCCGGCCUGAGAGCGUGACCGGCGUCCUUGGUCCUGAGGUACGGCCCAGUCUGCAACGGUGGGCAGCAGUGGGAAAUAUUGCACAAUGGGCGGGAGUCUGAUGCGGCGACGUCGGGUGCGGGAUGACGGCCUUCGGGUUGUAAACCGCUUUCGCCUGUGACGAAGCGGGAGUGACGGUACUCGGUAAAGAAGCACCGGCUAACUACGUG